GACGAACGCUGGCGGCGUGCUUAACACAUGCAAGUCGAACGGAAAGGCCCUGCUUUUGUGGGGUGCUCGAGUGGCGAACGGGUGAGUAACACGUGAGUAACCUGCCCUUGACUUUGGGAUAACUUCAGGAAACUGGGGCUAAUACCGGAUAGGAGCUCCUGCUGCAUGGUGGGGGUUGGAAAGUUUCGGCGGUUGGGGAUGGACUCGCGGCUUAUCAGCUUGUUGGUGGGGUAGUGGCUUACCAAGGCUUUGACGGGUAGCCGGCCUGAGAGGGUGACCGGCCACAUUGGGACUGAGAUACGGCACAGACUCCUACGGGAGGAAGCAGUGGGGAAUAUUGCACAAUGGGCGGAAGACUGAGGCAGCAACGCCGCGUGCGGGAUGACGGCCUUCGGGUUGUAAACCGCUUUCGCCUGUGACGAAGCGUGAGUGACGGUAAUGGGUAAAGAAGCACCGGCUAACUACGUG
rnacentral:rRNA from 1 species